rnacentral:lncRNA from 1 species
UCCAUUAGGGAUGGCUGGUGGAAGAAGAUGUGUAAUUUUUUUCUGUGUAGUCAGAAGAGUGAGAAUGUUCUCGAGGGUAUCCCCUAAGGGUGUAAACACUCGAGGGCGUUUAACUUCUCCACCUUUUGGUAUUGGAGGGUUUGCAGACUGUGCUUGAAAGGGAGUUAAGUUUCUCCUUUGAAUAAGCAUGUUUUGAUUGCCCUUUUGACCCUAUAGUAUCAGGGAAACAUCUUCCUCUUUCUUUUUAUGGACCCUCCAGGGGCUGUUUCCA